AAAAUCACUAAAAACAAAAAUAAACCAAUAAAAAAAAAUUAUUCCAAAAAAGAAUUUAAAGCUUCUACUCUUGCUAGCUUCCAGUGAAACACCUCUGAAUCACACUAAAACGCACACACUCUCUCUCUCUCCUCUCUCUCUAAAACAAAGAAUGGAGAAGGGAAAGCACAUAGGUUCACAGCAGCUAAUUCCAUCCGUCUUUUCCGGAAAAGAAACAAAUGUACCUACACCUGCUGCAAGUAAUGAGGUUGUUAUGAGGAAGAUAGAAAAAUCCACUCGUAGAUGGAUCACAAGACCUAUGAUGGACUUCAAGGGUGAAGCACGAGGACAAGAAGAGUGGCAGUUACGAGCGAUAUACCACAAAGGAAAAGGCCUCCAAGGGUGAUCUUUAUGUGGAGAAAGGAACCGGACAAGUUGGCGUCAAGGACGAGUUCAAGAAGAGCUCAACCAUCAGGGUUGGUGACAAAACUGGUUACACUGAGUACCACAUGAGCACAGGGUUCGAGAUGUCAACUAUGGCAAGAGCACCAGCACCAA